rnacentral:rRNA from 1 species
AUUGAACGCUGGCGGCAUGCUUUACACAUGCAAGUCGAACGGUAACAGGCCGCAAGGUGCUGACGAGUGGCGAACGGGUGAGUAAUGCAUCGGAACGUGCCCAGUCGUGGGGGAUAACUACUCGAAAGAGUAGCUAAUACCGCAUACGAUCUAUGGAUGAAAGCGGGGGACCGUAAGGCCUCGCGCGAUUGGAGCGGCCGAUGUCAGAUUAGGUAGUUGGUGGGGUAAAGGCUCACCAAGCCAACGAUCUGUAGCUGGUCUGAGAGGACGACCAGCCACCCUGGGACUGAGACACGGCCCAGACUCCUACGGGAGGCAGCAGUGGGGAAUUUUGGACAAUGGGCGCAAGCCUGAUCCAGCAAUGCCGCGUGCAGGAAGAAGGCCUUCGGGUUGUAAACUGCUUUUGUACGGAACGAAACGGCUCUGGUUAAUACCCGGGGCUAAUGACGGUACCGUAAGAAUAAGCACCGGCUAACUACGUG